CAAAACAAUCAUUCUCUUUCUUCUUUUCCAUCUUCUCUUUCCUCGUUAAAUUCUUCAUUUCCUUCUUUUCACACCCAAACAAUUCAGGGCAUCUCUCUUUCUCUUCUCACAACCGUCUCUCUUCCUCUUCUCACAGCCGAAAAAUUUAAAGCUUCUAUCUUCCUCUUCUCACAGUCAAACAGUUUAAGGUUUCUCUCUUCCUCUUCUCACAACCGAACAAUUAACUCUUCUAUCUUCCUCUUCUCACAGCCAAACAAUUAACCUUUCUCUCUUCCUCUUCUCACAGCCGAAGGAAUUUCUCUCUUCCUCUUCGGCGCUCACUGAUUUUUCUCCAUCGUUCAAUACCAUCUUCUUCACGGUAUUUUGAUGCACGUUGAUUUUAUAAACCUCACAUUUUUUUUCUUUGUUGUUCUUCGGUCUCCGAUGUCCCUGUGGAUGUGGAUGUCGUUGACAAGCCACGUUUAGAAAUAAACGAUGGCCUCCGAUGCCUUAUCUUCGACUGGGCGUUCGUUGACUAGGUGGCUGCUUCCUUGCAUGGCUUGUCCUACGAACUUGCCGCUCGGAUGUCAUUCAUCAUAUUUUUCUUGUCGCUCGGUUAACCUCUGUGACCGCGACGAUCUUUCAUCCUCUGAUGAGUGACAGAUACUAACCGAGGGUUGUGGCUGUGGUGGUUCCAAGCAAGUUAGGGUCGAGUGUGUUUUAUGCAUUUUUUCAUCCAUGAUUUCAUUUCGUAUGUUGCAUUUCAUUUUAUCUAUGCCCUUCAUAUCAAUGCAUUUGAUAUGGAUGCAAUGCCCUUCAUAUCCCCACAUCUAAUAAGGUCUCGUUGCAUUAGUCCAUCCACGAUAAAUUUAUUUGUCAUUUGAAGUUCGAUUUCAUUUAACUGAACGAACUUUCGUUCUUUGAGGCAGAGUUUAACAUUGUUUUAGAUUUUGUAUACUUGUUCCCAUUUACUUGUUAACUUUUUUAUUUGGCCACUUUUGUUACGCGUCGUUAGAUACGAACUAUAAGGUACGCUCUUGCACCAUUAUCUAUAUUUUUAUUUAGAGACAUAUAUUCUAAUACAUUGUGUCCUUAUGUAAGUUUCAUCACUGCCUUAUGCAGUGCAGUCAAGUGUACGUAGACUACAAUUUCGAGGUACUAGGAAAACAUCGACAUUCUGCUAAAGGUGACCCUUAGAGUACCUUUCAAUGAAUCCCACAGAACUGGCAAAUGUUUUGAACGCCUUUCUACUUGUCCAACAUCAAAUGAUAAUGACGUUUGACACAUUCUUCAAUGAUAUGAGAAGGAUUCCCCAAGUACCGUGUGACACAAGGCAUAAGAUUAGACAGAUUGCGUAUUUUCGUAUGAUACACAAGUCUGACCUUGUAUGUCAGCAAAGUACGCGCAUGGAUAGACGUUGUUUCGCAAUUCUCUGUCAUCUCCUACAGACAACGACCGUACUAGAAUCCACUGACGCUGUCGAUGUCGAAGAGAUAGUCACUAUCUUCCUACACGUGCUUUCACAUGAUGUUAAGAACCGCGAGGUACAACGAGACUUUGUACGAUCUAGCGAGACUGCAUCAAGGCAUUUUAACAUAGUCCUUAUGGUCGUACUGCGUCUGUCUGACGAGUUAUUGGCGAAAUCACAGCUUGUUCCAAGCGACUGCACAAAUCCCAAGUGGCAGUGUUUCGAGAAUUUCCUUGGUGUCCUUGACGACACAUACAUAAAAGUGAACGUGUUCGCAAGUGAUCGACCUAGAUAUCGAACACGGAAGAGUGAAGUGACGACGAAUGUUCUUGGCGUACGUGAUACAAAAGGGAACUUCGUUUUCUUCUUAUCAGGCUGGAAAGGUUGAGCAGUUGACUCUCGUAUCCUACGUGAUGCCAUUUCAAGACCCAACGAACUAAGGGUUCCUAAGGGUAACAACUAGUGUUUCAAAACUUAAAAAUUACUAUUUCUUUCUACUACCGAUAAUUUUAGUAUAAGAAAACAACAA